CCUACGGGGCGCUGCAGUGAGGAAUAUUUGUCAAUGGGCGCGAGCCUGAACCAGCCAAGUCGCGUGAGGGAAGACGGUCCUAUGGAUUGUAAACCUCUUUUGUCGGGGAGCAAAAGACGCCACGCGUGGCGUUCCGAGAGUACCCGACGAACAAGCAUCGGCUAACUCCGUGCCAGCAGCCGCGGUAAUACGGAGGAUGCGAGCGUUAUCCUGAUUUAUUGGGUUUAAAGGGUGCGCAGGCGGAAGAUCAAGUCAGCGGUAAAAUUGAGAGGCUCAACCUCUUCGAGCCGUUGAAACUGGUGUUCUUGAGUGAGCGAGAAGUAUGCGGAAGGCGUGGUGUAGCGGUGAAAUGCAUAGAUAUCACGCAGAACUCCGAUUGCGAAGGCAGCAUACCGGCGCGCAACUGACGCUCAUGCACGAAAGUGUGGGUAUCGAACAGGAUUAGAUACCCUAGUAGUC
rnacentral:rRNA from 1 species